CUGCUGCCUCCCGUAGGAGUCUGGGCCGUGUCUCAGUCCCAAUGUGGCCGUUCACCCUCUCAGGCCGGCUACUGAUCGUCGCCUUGGUGGGCCGUUACCCCGCCAACAAGCUAAUCAGACGCGGAACCAUCGUAUACCACCGGAGUUUUUCACACUCC
rnacentral:rRNA from 1 species